rnacentral:rRNA from 1 species
CUGAAUGCAGCGACGCCGCGUGAGGGAUGACGGCCUUCGGGUUGUAACCUCUUUCAGCAGGGAAGAAGCGAAAGUGACGGUACCUGCAGAAGAAGCGCCGGCUAACUACGUGCCAGCAGCCGCGGUAAUACGUAGGGCGCAAGCGUUGUCCGGAAUUAUUGGGCGUAAAGAGCUCGUAGGCGGCUUGUCACGUCGGUUGUGAAAGCCCGGGGCUUAACCCCGGGUCUGCAGUCGAUACGGGCAGGCUAGAGUUCGGUAGGGGAGAUCGGAAUUCCUGGUGUAGCGGUGAAAUGCGCAGAUAUCAGGAGGAACACCGGUGGCGAAGGCGGAUCUCUGGGCCGAUACUGACGCUGAGGAGCGAAAGCGUGGGGAGCGAACAGGAUUAGAUACC